CCUGGAUUUUCCACCUUGCCACUGUUUGUGAUAGCAUCGCCACGCCUCUCUUAAAUGUCCAGGCUGUGUCUAGAAUGUAUCGAUAAAGCAUGCUCUCCUGGCCAGGGUAUCGGCCCCUUUGAAAAGCGCGUUUGCCUGGCUGCACGAGACAUGCAUUUUGCACAGGCGGGCAGACACUCUUCCCGACAGUUGCCAAUGCUCGUAUGGACUAUUUUCUGCUCAACGUGAAAAUAGUUAAUACACGAUGGCAAAAAGUAGAUGUGUGUGCAUGGCCCCUUACGGUGCCUUUGUCCCGGACCGCCACGGUCUGCACGGCGGGGCCGGAGAGCGCAGGCCUGGAGCUCCGAGCGGCAGAACGCCCCUCAGACGCGGGCGGGCGCGGAAUGAAAGGCAGCUGUCCGUUCGGCCCAGGAAUAGAGCUCCGAUUCGUCAUGUGGUUCUUCUGCGGGAGCGCACAUUGCGAAUGGGGAGGGAGUGACAGCGGGGAACGAUGACACAGAGACUUUGCGGGGAAAGAAGCGCGGGUUUUUGGUGCGCCAGUGCAGAACUGGCUCCCCAACGGAAGGCGGCCGUGAAAUGUUGCUGAUAGGUUCUUAAAGCUGUAGCACCAACAGCAAAUGGGGAAAAACACACAUUUCUGGCAGUGUUUGUGUAUGUUUGUAAUGAUGAAAGACUUGCUCCCUGGGGAGCUAAAUUUGUGCUUUUUUUCCAAGAAAUAGUAGACUUGUGCACAGUUUCAGUGCAGUGUGAGUACUGGUAGCUCAGUAGAUUAGUGCAUGCGUAUCUGGGAUUAGAUGUGUGUUUCUGUGAAACUCGGGAUACUGAACAUAAGUAUAUAUAAACAAAUGAUACUGGGGGAACUUCAAGUACCAUAUACCCAGCACAAAUCCUAAAAGGGGUUUAUCUGUCUCUUACUGCAUCUUUCCCUUUGAGGAAAGUGCUGGUUUCUACUUUACCUUUAAAAAUAAUAAAUUUAUGAUAUAAAUUCA